UCGUUUUAUGUAUAAGCUCGU
rnacentral:miRNA from 1 species